rnacentral:rRNA from 1 species
UGGGGAAUUUUGGACAAUGGGCGAAAGCCUGAUCCAGCAAUGCCGCGUGUGUGAAGAAGGCCUUCGGGUUGUAAAGCACUUUUGUCCGGAAAGAAAUCCUUGGCUCUAAUACAGUCGGGGGAUGACGGUACCGGAAGAAUAAGCACCGGCUAACUACGUGCCAGCAGCCGCGGUAAUACGUAGGGUGCAAGCGUUAAUCGGAAUUACUGGGCGUAAAGCGUGCGCAGGCGGUUUGCUAAGACCGAUGUGAAAUCCCCGGGCUCAACCUGGGAACUGCAUUGGUGACUGGCAGGCUAGAGUAUGGCAGAGGGGGGUAGAAUUCCACGUGUAGCAGUGAAGUGCGUAGAGAUGUGGAGGAAUACCGAUGGCGAAGGCAGCCCCCUGGGCCAAUACUGACGCUCAUGCACGAAAGCGUGGGGAGCAAACAGGAUUAGAUACCCUGGUAGUCCACGCCCUAAACGAUGUCAACUAGUUGUUGGGGAUUCAUUUCCUUAGUAACGUAGCUAACGCGUGAAGUUGACCGCCUGGGGAGUACGGUCGCAAGAUU